rnacentral:rRNA from 1 species
UUAAGCUUAAGAGGGUAUGCGACGAAUGCCUAGGGACAAGAUGCCGAUGAAGGACGCGAAAGCGGCGAUACUCCCAGGGGAGCUGCACAGAAGUGUUGAUCCUGGGGUUUCCGAAUGGAGGAAUCCUAUCAGAGUAAUGUCUGGUAAUCCGGCCCUGAAUAAAAUAGGGGUCGUGAAGGCAACCUGCUGAACUGAAACAUCUAAGUAAGCAGAGGAAAAGAAAUCGAAGAGAUUCUGCAAGUAGCGGCGAGCGAACGCGGAAGAGCCUAAACCAAGGGGUUUACUCCUUGGGGUCGUGGGGCCACUACUACCUUUCCCUCCAACCGAGCCUUAAGGUUCGAUUGGAGAUAGGUAGAAAAGAAGAUCGAAGCUAGUUAGAAGAAUAGUGUUGGAACGCACAGCCAUAGAGGGUGAUAGCCCCGUAUUUUAAAACUCAGAUCGAAUUCAUGUGGUACCCGAGUAGCACGGAGCACGAGGAACCCCGUGUGAAUCUGUCCAGACCACUGGAUAAGGCUAAAUACAUCUUGUCACCGAUAGUGCAUCCAGUACCGUGAGGGAAAGGUGAAAAGAACCCCGGGUAGGGGAGUGAAAUAGAACCUGAAAUCGCACAACCCACAAACAGUCAGAGCACCAUGUUCGGAGCAAUCCGAUCAAGUGUUAUGGCGUGCCUUUUGCAGAAUGAGCCUGCGAGUUAUUGGUGUUGGCAAGGUUAAGGCGUUUAGCGCCGGAGCCGGAGGGAAACCGAGUCUGAAUAAGGCGUCAAGUCAGCAUCAGUAGACCCGAAACUGCGUGAUCUAGCCAUGGCCAGGUUGAAGUGUUGGUAAUACAACAUGGAGGACCGAACUCAUAGAUGUUGAAAAAUCUCGGGAUGAGCUGUGGUUAGUCCGGUGAAAUGCCAAUCGAACGCGGAGAUAGCUGGUUCUCCCCGAAAUGCAUUUGGGUGCAGCGUUUUGCGUUGUGAUUAGGGGGUAGAGCACUGAAUGGGCUAGGGGGUUUACCGACUUACCGAACCCAACCAAACUCCGAAUACCAUUAAGUAAGCCAGGCAGUGAGACAGCGAGUGAUAAGAUCCGUUGUCAAAAGGAGAACAAUCCAGAUCGACAGCUAAGGGCC